rnacentral:rRNA from 1 species
UACGGAGGGUGCAAGCGUUAUCCGGAUUUACUGGGUUUAAAGGGUGCGUAGGCGGGUAGGUAAGUCAGUGGUGAAAUCUUCAAGCUUAACUUGGAAAUUGCCGUUGAUACUAUUUAUCUUGAAUAUCGUUGAGGUUUGCGGAAUAUGUCAUGUAGCGGUGAAAUGCUUAGAGAUGACAUAGAACACCUAUUGCGAAGGCAGCAGGCUAAAACGAACAUUGCGCUGAGGCACGAAAAGCGUGGGGGAUCAAAACAGGAUUAGAUACCCCGUGUAGUCC